CAUGUGCUAAAUUGAACCUGAGUGAGGCUUAUCGAUUUACACGAACCGCAAGUGUUAGAAUAAGCUAAUCAAUGCAUUCCCGAAACAAUUAGUGGUUGGCGGUGUAAAACCGGAACCUCAACACAUCUGAACACAAUAUGGCCCUUUAAUGCGGACUUAAUAGAUCCAAUCAAAGACAGUGUUCGGUUUCCGAUUGCGGUGUGCCUGCUUAGGGCUGCGCCCUCUUCCCAGUGAUCUUAAGAUAGGCGAGUGAGCGUCACCUUCCUCGAAAAUCUGGAAUUGAGAUCGGAAACUACGGGACAGUUGAUAAAAAGGAGUGCCAGACGAAGCGUUUUUCCUCCGAGUUAAAUGGGGAAUUUAUGCAAAUCGUUUUCGAUGCCGACGAACACUGCAAUUAACCCGUUGCAAAAAAUUUGCUAAAUUUCUAUCAGUGUUUAAAAUAUCCGCAAGCCCAGAUGCGUUUCAAAUCUUUUUAGAGCGAAAACAAAAAAUGCUGUUAGCAAAGCGGGAAAACGAAGAAAAAUUGCAUUAGUCCCGACAGACAGAUCAGUCCGAUGCAGAUUAAUAGCUGUCUAACGGCCUGGAUUUGGCACGAAGUCAGCCUCAAAAGCACGCAACUCCGCCUGAAAAUCGCCCUUCCAGCGGAAACAUCCUUUUUUGGGAAGGUGUUUCCAGAAAAUGCCAUUUCCUCUGUCUUAAUCCACGGAACGUUUUUGAGGGAUCAUGAAUUUUGGAAAGUUCCUUUUGCAAACAUGCCAUGUUUGCGCAACAAACCAGCAAAUAAUGCCCUGCAAUAGAGGCCAAAUAUUUUCGGAAAGCUUCCGUUCGUGCGCUUAUUUUCGCUACUUAUGUGCCUUUUCAUAUGCGUUCGUGC